rnacentral:misc_RNA from 1 species
GGGAGAGAGAGAAAGAGAGAGCUAAGUUGCUACAAUGGAGAGGAAAGGCAAGAAACCCUCAUCGUCAGGCGACUUCUCGGAGGGCUCCGUGCCCCGAACAUGGGAGGAGAGGAGGAUUGUGUCGGCGCCGGAGCUGUUCGAGAAGUUGAACCAGAUUCCGCAGCGGCGGCCGGAGGCCCAGAGGGAGCUGACCGGGUCAGAGUUCCUGGAGUUCCUCAAGAGGCAGGGGCCCGAGGGAUCCAGGAGUUCGAGAUCGGUCAAUUCAGGUCAAGGCAGCGCAGGCAGACAGAGGAACCAAAAUUAUCAGACCGUGGCAAUAGAUCAAUGCGAUAUCACCUCAUCUGUGGACUAUGGUAGUCGCGAUUACUACUGCCCGUCGUCGAAUAGCGCCGAUGUUCCUUAUACUCCUAAAGAGAAUGAGAUGGAUGACUUGUAUAAGAAUUGCGCCGA